AAGGGUUAUUAAUCUUAUAAAAUAAUUUAAGUGCAUUGGUGAAGUAUUAAAUGUUUUUUUUUCAAGAGGGCACUGAUUUGUUAAUGCAGUGUUUGACAGAUGCAAUGUAGCUGCUUACUAAUGGAUUUGUAAUUGAUGAAGUAACACUUAAUAAGGUACAUUGUGUAAUCUUCUUUAUAAAUCUAUUACAAAUAUAAAAAAGUGUUAUUGAUCAGUUUUGAAAUGAAAAAAAACAAGAAAAAUUGCAAAUAUCUUCACACCCCAAAUAUGAAAUUUACUUUGGGAGUGAUCACAUCUGUCAGAAUCAUUUCUGUCCUUAAGGAUACUGUAUGAUCUUUUCUUAGUUAUUAUAAAAUACAGGAUUAUUGAAGCCUGUUUGUAAAGCGCCUGUGUUGACUUUUUUAUCGGUUUGGUGUACAGUCUUGCAAAAGUCGGGUUUGAGGUUAGGCUCCUUGGACGAACACUGGAAUGUGUCAUCUGGGCAGAAGCAGGUAGCAAUCAAACGAAGACAGUUCAGGACUGUUGCCACCAGCAUAAGAAAUCCUGAGUGGUUGGGAAAAGAAAUACGACAUGUAAUGUAACUGUUAUAUAUUAAAUUAACGCACACAUUAAACUAACACAUCUAAAUAUUAUUAUGAUUUAUUUAAUUAACUUAAGCUUGGCACUGCUUCAAUUACAGUAUAAUGUGCUUUUUAGGAGGUUAAAUCAUGUGAAAACGAAUCUCAUGUCUACAUUAAUCAGGAUUGUCUUAGUAAAUCCAGAAUAAUACAACAGUUUGUGAUUUACUCCACAGUGUCCUCUAUUAAAAUCUAUAUUCUUACCGCAGUAGACUGUGUUAGGUGGAAGGUCAUGGACACGAUAUCCUCUGGAGAACAUCGCACCCAGGCCCAGAAUCAACACGGGGUGAGCAUCCCCAGAAGGAGUAGUGUAAGGACCAAGGAGCUAACCAAAGAGUCAGACACCCCAGCCUGGUAUCGCAUCACCACUCCCAGACUGAUUAAUGCCUCCAGAAGGGUCCACCAGCCAAACAGCGCCAAUCCAUUCUGGGUCUGCCUCACACAACAACGACACUCAUUUAGAGGAACCAUCAUAAAGAUAUGUGAUGUGUAUAUAAUAAAAUGAGAUGUGCU
ensembl:lncRNA